AGACAAGACCCUGGAAAGGACAGAGGUGGAGUUCAAGAGAUUAAUCCUUUCUUCUGUCCUGUUUCACCUCCCCGUUAAAGUAAGGGGAGGUGGAACAGAAACAGAGCUCUCUUGUCGGCAGAAGCUGCCUCCGGAAAACGCCUUGAAACAGAAUCAGCAAGAUUGAUGGGCAGACAGGCAGAGGUGAAGCCAUGGCAUUUCUGACUCCUGCCAUGUGAGAGCACAAGGAGCUGCUGCAAAAAAGAAAAGACCCUCACCAGAAGUGGAAUAGUACUUUCUGAAGAAACAUGUCAGAGAGAUAAUACACCUAGGAUGUGCCAUGAUGCACAGGAAGAGGCGUGAAAUAAAGGCUUACUGGACGGAUGAGAGGACAAGCCAAUCACUCAAUAGGGUGAGAGCAAUGUGCCAAGACAAGGGAUGCUGGGUUAGUUCCUUAAAAUAUGUAGCCCAUCCCAGGAGAAUGACAAGAGAUUAUCCAAGGAUGCUGAGGCUGCUCAGCUAGAGGGAGACUUGUACCCACUGGAGCCAACACAGCACUCUGCUGUGUGAUGAUUAGACCCUUGGAGAUGAGAAUAAAAUGAAAGGACUGA